GCUUUGCACAGCAGUACCACUAAAGACUGGUGUGGAGCAUCUGUACAAGAAAUUGAUAAGAAAAUGUUACCUUCAGCCAAACCAUAACAUGAGCUUUGCACAGCAGUACCACUAAAGACUGGUGGAUUCUAUGGAGCAUCUGUACAAGAAAUUGAUAAGAAAAUGUUACCUUCAGAGCUUUCCUAUCCCUUCUGCAGGGGGCUUACAGCUAAUUUGAGGGGAUAGGGUUCCCAGGAUUCUGUGUGUCAUUUGCCACUUGCGAUCAUUUCCCAUGUAUAUGGCAUGCCUGUUCAUAGACUUGUUAUACCUUGUGCCUACUCCUGACUGGUGAACUUUGAAUAGAAUGUGAAUAAGAUAUCUAUCCAUCUGAGUCCUAGCUAUAACACUGAAAUUGUAUCUUUCUCGAAGUUGCUCAAAGAUUCAGUGUUAGGUUGUAUUUUUCCCAAUGUAAAGUACAGAAGGAGUGAGCAGAGGAUUCAGAUAUGGAUCUGAUUGGUUUGAAAGUAUCGAAUAACUGUUGCACACAGUUUACGCUGGCUAGUUUUCUAUGAAUUUGACACAAGGUAGAGGCAUUUGAGAAGAGGGAACCUCAAUUGAGAAAAUGCUCCUAUCAUAGGUCAAGCACGUGGAGCAUUUUUGUUUGUUUGUUUGGUUUUGUUUUUCCAAGUCAGGGUUUCUCUGUGUAGCCCUGACUGUCCUGGAACUUGUUCUGUAGACCAGGCUGGCCUCAAACUCACAAAGAUCUGCUUGCCUCUGACUUCUAAGUGCUGGACCUAAAGGCCACCACCUCGCUCCUGCAUUUUCUUGAUUAAUGAUGGAUGGGCAAGCAUCCAGCACAUUGAAGGUAGUGCCACCCAUGGGCUAGUGGUCCUGGAGAGCAUAAGAAAUCAGGUUGAGCAAGCCACAUGAGCAAGCCAGUAAGCAGCACCCCUCCAUGGCCUUUGCUUCAGCUCCUCCCUCCAGGUUCCUGCCUUUAAUUUCUGCCCUGACUUCCCUAGAUGAAGGAUUAUAAACUGUAAAAUGCAAUAAACCUUUUCCUCCC
rnacentral:lncRNA from 1 species